AUCAGCCUUUCGGGUGCGAUUCUGUGGAGUGUGAGGAGCUUAACACCUUCAUGCUUUGCAUAUUUGUGCUCUUGGGUGUACUUGCCCGUGUGGUUGGUUAACAUCAAUUUUGGUGGUCAUAAAAUGACUGGAGGAAUGUAGCUUCGAUCUCGUAUUGAAGUGUUAUAGCCUUCGGUAGAUGUGAUGAUCGAGAUUGAGGAUUGCAACGGAUACCCUUCGGGGCUACCUGUCUGGUCUCUGAUCGUUGCCCUGGUGCCGAAAGCUUGCUUACGGUUAUCAAAGUCGAUGGUCAAUAGGUUAGAACGGGUUAAAUUCGUUAAGGAUGUUGACGUAAUGGCUUU
rnacentral:rRNA from 1 species